AUGGCUGAAAUAGCAGACUCUCAAAUGGCGGGCCAAAGUAGGUCAUUUGAGUUCUCAGAGGAUGAUGAUUCCCGGAUCAUAAUGAAGGACUCGCUUUUUGAUGAAACUGGCCCAAUGACAGACUGCAAUGCAGACUUAGUUAUCACGUCUCUCAAGAAUCUACGGAUCCUGAUCUUCACUGUAACAGCUGCAGCAUCACAACACAGAGAGGUUUUUGUACCAGCAGUAACGGGGAUUGUAUCACUGUGGUGGACUUUUGGUAGCGGCACCAGACUUGAUGUUGGAAGUAACAGUGCCCCCACCCUCACCGUCCUGCCCCCCUCUAGUGAGGAACUGUCCAGUACAACAACAGCCACACUGACGUGUCUGGCCAACAAGGGCUUCCCCUCAGAUUGGACCAUGAGCUGGAAAGUGGACGGGACCAACAAGAACCAGGAGACCAGUCCCGGGGUCCUGGAGAAGGACGGCCUGUACAGCUGGAGCAACACCCUGACUCUCACUGCCCAGGAGUGGACCAAGGCAGGAGAGGUGACCUGUGAAGCCCAGCAGAAAUCCCAGAGUCCAGUCACCAAGACCCUGAGGAAGGCUGACUGUUCUGGGUAGGAUCCCUCAGUAACACACCCCUGUGGAGAGAGGCUGCUGGUUCCUCUGCUUUGACUCUGUUCUGAGAUCAGAUGUUGUCUGUCUUAUUGAUCACUGACAUGUAGACUAACAGAGGGCUUUGCUUGAGUUCAUGUGUCAAUCCUCUCUGUAGACUGAGGUUGUAUCAGUGUUAGAUGUGAUGUGUUCUGUUUUAUUACUAUUAGAUUCUGUAGGAAUGUUUGCUUUGAUGCUUUGAUGAAUCGAUGAAAAUAAAGAUUUUCCUUUUGGAACAAAUA